GGGAGUUUGUGUAACUGAAGCAAAGAUUUUGCUUUCUCACUUCUCGCCCCGUCUUGCGGAAAACAGCCUGAUGCUCUGGGCCUUGCUGAAAUGCCACAUCCUCCAGAAUGCCAUACUUAAUCUACAAAUUUGAAGCAAGUUUGCCUUCCCUACUCCACCUUUAUAACCCUUGAAGGCUUGAACCUUUUUAUUACAUAGCACUGUAUAUUAUAUACCUAAGUGCUUGU